rnacentral:rRNA from 1 species
UACGAAGGGGGCUAGCGUUGUUCGGAUUUACUGGGCGUAAAGCGCACGUAGGCGGAUCGUUAAGUCGGGGGUGAAAUCCCGGGGCUCAACCCCGGAACUGCCCUUGAAACUGGAGAGCUAGAAUCUUGGAGAGGCGAGUGGAAUUCCGAGUGUAGAGGUGAAAUUCGUAGAUAUUCGGAAGAACACCAGUGGCGAAGGCGACUCGCUGGACAAGUAUUGACGCUGAGGUGCGAAAGCGUGGGGAGCAAACAGG